CGGGGUGGCGGCGAUCGUUCACCGCAGAAGACAGCCUCUGCCCCUUCUUGGUUGCCCUUAACGCCCUUGCGCACUCGCCCUCGACCUUGUACUUUGUUGGCUGUGCGAGUUUUGAGCUGUCACUAAUCCGCUCUCUUGCCACCCUCCUCUUCCGCUCACGUCACUACGCGUAGGUGCCGUCAUGCAAGUCGGCUGCUCUCAUGGCCGGCCAGAUCCGCAAUAGCUGGCGGCGCCGCAUCUACCUGUGGCUCACCACCUCCACCCGCGACCGUCGCAACCGGACUGAUGAUGUCGGCACCCAUCUUCAGGCAGCGCGCAGAGAGCGAAACAAGGUGCAUAGAGUCAACGACUUGCUCCAUGCUUCUGGCAUGUGGCACCACCCCCAUGACACGCUGGAAGGCAUCAUUCUUCAAGGAAUGGGGAAGGGGCUUGCGUGGAGCUUCGUGAUUGUCCCUGCGUGUUUUGUGCUGACCUUCAUCGUCUGCAUAACCUCGUAUCGUGGCGGUGACUGGCGCGCACAGCAACAGCACGCGCAAGAGGAGUGGCAGCAUCACCUGCUGGAAGCGGCGCAGAAACGGGCGAUAGCCGACAAGGAACUGCAGUCUGUAUGCAAUUACGCCAUGGAGGCAAAGUCUUUACUUCGCCCCAUUCCGGAGGAACGGCGCUGGGCUGCGCAGCUAGAGGCGAACAUGGCCUUCAUCAACGAAAAGCUUCAGCGCCACUUAGGCGAUGACGAGUCAACGCGAGAACGCGGGUGAAAGGUGCAUGCAAGCGUCCAAGUGCGUCGGCGUUCGUGCACCCCGCUCCCCCACUUCUCCAGCUUGCAGAGACACACAAUGGUUUUCCCGCUCUUCCUACUGGCGCCGCCCCUCGUGCGCAUUGGCGUGUACGCGUGCCGCACCAGAUGGUAGUGCGUGCCG
rnacentral:misc_RNA from 1 species